rnacentral:rRNA from 1 species
AUUGAACGCUGGCGGCAUGCUUUACACAUGCAAGUCGAACGGUAACAGGGUGCUUGCACCGCUGACGAGUGGCGAACGGGUGAGUAAUGCGUCGGAACGUGCCGAGUAGUGGGGGAUAACGCAGCGAAAGUUGUGCUAAUACCGCAUACGUACUGAGGUAGAAAGUGGGGACCUUCGGGCCUCACGCUAUUCGAGCGGCCGACGUCUGAUUAGCUAGUAGGUGAGGUAAAGGCUCACCUAGGCGACGAUCAGUAGCGGGUCUGAGAGGAUGAUCCGCCACACUGGGACUGAGACACGGCCCAGACUCCUACGGGAGGCAGCAGUGGGGAAUUUUGGACAAUGGGCGAAAGCCUGAUCCAGCCAUGCCGCGUGUCUGAAGAAGGCCUUCGGGUUGUAAAGGACUUUUGUCAGGGAGGAAAUCCCUAGUGCUAAUAACACUGGGGGAUGACAGUACCUGAAGAAUAAGCACCGGCUAACUACGUGCCAGCCGCCGCCGUAA